AACGAACGCUGGCGGCAUGCCUAACACAUGCCAGUCGAACGAGACCUUCGGGUCUAGUGGCGCACGGGUGCGUAACGCGUGGGAACCUGCCCUUAGGUUCGGAAUAACUCCCCGAAAGGGGUGCUAAUACCGGAUAAUGUCUUCGGACCAAAGAUUUAUCGCCUUUGGAUGGGCCCGCGUUGGAUUAGCUAGUUGGUAGGGUAAAAGCCUACCAAGGCGACGAUCCAUAGCUGGUCUGAGAGGAUGAUCAGCCACACUGGGACUGAGACACGGCCCAGACUCCUACGGGAGGCAGCAGUGGGGAAUAUUGGACAAUGGGCGAAAGCCUGAUCCAGCAAUGCUGCGUGAGUGAUGAAGGCCUUAGGGUUGUAAAGCUCUUUUACCCGGGAUGAUAAUGACAGUACCGGGAGAAUAAGCUCCGGCUAACUCCGUG
rnacentral:rRNA from 1 species